AUUGAACGCUGGCGGCAGGCCUAACACAUGCAAGUCGAGCGAGCGGCGGACGGGUGAGUAAUGUCUGGGAAACUGCCUGAUGGAGGGGGAUAACUACUUGAAACGGUAGCUAAUACCGCAUACCAUCAGAUUUGCCCAGAGUGGAUUAGCUCGUAGGUGGGGUAACGGCUCACCUAGGCGACGAUCCCUAGCUGGUCGCAGAGGAUGACCGUCCACACUGGAACUGAUACACGGUCCAGACGCCUACGGGAGGCAGGAGUGGGAAAUAUUGCACAAUGGGCGCAAGCCUGAUGCAGCCAUGCCGCGUGUAUGAAGAAGGCCUUCGGGUUGUAAAGUACUUUCAGCGGGGAGGCGUUACCCGAAGAGGAAGCACCGGCUAACGCCGUGCCAGCAGCCGCGGUAAUUC
rnacentral:rRNA from 1 species